rnacentral:tRNA from 1 species
UGCCGGAUUGUGUAAUGGUAGCACACAUGACUCUGGAUCAUGGUGUCCAGGUUCGAGCCCUGGUCCGGCAGCCA